rnacentral:misc_RNA from 1 species
GAUGAAGAACGUAGCGAAAUGCGAUAACUAAUGUGAAUUGCAGAAUUCCGUGAAUCAUUGAGUCUUUGAACGCACAUUGCACCCUCUGGUAUUCCGGGGGGCAUGCCUGUCCGAGCGUCAUUGCUGCCCUCAAGCACGGCUUGUGUGUUGGGCCUCCGUCCUCCUCCCGGGGGACGGGCCCGAAAGGCAGCGGCGGCACCGCGUCCGGUCCUCGAGCGUAUGGGGCUUCGUCACCCGCUCUUGUAGGCCCGGCCGGCGCUUGCCGACACAUCAAUCUUUUUUCCAGGUUGACCUCGGAUCAGGUAGGGAUACCCGCUGAACUUAAGCAUAUCAAUAAGCGGAGGA